CCCACCCCACGCCGAAAUCAACCACUAGCAUCGCCACCCACCGUCGGCACAACCUUCUCGGCAACCAGGAAUUGGAUUGGUGGCUGCUUGGCUACCGAGAAUUGGAUUUUCCCCAAGUGAGUUUGUAAAUGGGAAAAUUGCAGCAACGCAAGAUCGGGAUUCGAAAUCCCAAAAGCUGCAUCUAUUGGUUGUCCCCCUUUUUGUUGAAAUGUUAUCAUCAGAUUGAACACUUGGAUUGUGGGAGUCGACCGAUGAUAGUCCGCGAUGGUGGGUGUGAUCGAAGGAGGAGUUGUCGACAGCUUUUGAGUUUGCGAGUUGGGGUAUUUUUGGUGGUUAUUCCGGUGACAUUUGAUGGAGUUUAGGUUGUGGCUGGUUGGGAUGUGGAGAGGGGAAUGAAGGGAUUUCCAAUGAUGUGUGGGUUUGAUAGUUUAGGGGUUGGUGUCAUCGACGAGAGACUGAAGGUUCUUAUUUCUCAAAGUUUAUGGACCUUCAUUAACACAAAUUUAAGAUUAGAAUAAACAUCUAUCGAAAAAAAGUGAAAGGAACAACUGCUACAAUUUUA
rnacentral:lncRNA from 1 species